CUUACCCCUCCCCAUAAUUCAAAGGGAACCCCCCUAACACCUCCCUCUUUACCUGUGCUUUCUAUCUCUGCCUCCCAGUGUUCUGCGGCCGUCUUUCACGCGAGCGAUGCCUCCCUUCCCCGCGACGAAAGAGGCACAAUCACAGUCAUCAUAACGCUCACACGCUGAGGUGACCACGGCCACCAUCAGCGCCACCAUCCGUCACCCGCCUCGUAUCGCUUUUGAUAUCAUCUCCACAAACUCAGUUGCAGGUGAUGCUCUGGUAUUCUUGAAACACUUAUGAUUUGUGCUCCCCAUACCCCCCCUUCCUUUCCUUAUCCCUUGCUUCUUCCGCAGCGCCACACGGAGCUGGUGAGCUGCGAGGCGUGCGGGUCUCAGUGUGUAUGUGCCUGCGUGUACUCAAACUCUCUCUCUAGAUAUAGAUGUUUGCCGCUCUCCUCCGUUUGUCUGUCUGUGUCUGUGUUAUCAUCAUCGGCAGCUGAGACAUUCACAAGAGGCGUACACCACCGAAAUAACGCUAAAACGAAACGUAGAAAACGUAUGCACAACACUCCUUUGUGGUCGCAUGCACGCGUUUUUUUCUCUUUCUCUCGUGGAUCCCUCAUGACGAGGGACACCUCAGCGCGCGGUAUCUCAAGGGGGCCACCACACAGCACGGUGGGCGGAAGCCGAGCAGCCCUUCUAUCCCUGUCAAUGCCCUGCCACUUCUGGCGGUGACGCGGCCAAUCACCUACCACGUAGGGGGGGAGGUCAGAGCGAUGUAUCGCUACUGAUGUCGGCGCUCGGGUUCUGGAUGGCGUGGCAUCGGAGCGACCUCGCGACAGUGAACACGCUUGUGCCAUCCAUGCGAUUACGCAGAGUGUCAGUGUCACUCGACCGUGUCUCACACGGCCCGGCUGGUGGCUGGGGGGCCUGAGCGUCACCACGAGGGAGACGCACCACGUGGCAACCCAGCAUGGCUGGAGCGGCUGCGAGGCGAUCUGGAAAGCAGGCAUGGGCAGAUAGAGUUCGAGGCAGAGGCUCUGCUCAGCUCACCGAUCUGAUAUUGCCCUAACGCGUGUGUCAACGGCAUGCUUUUCACCACGCUGGUGCGGCCUGUGGGGCAAGCCGGGGGAGGAGGAUAGAGUGCAGUGGACGCCAUAGUGUAUGGCAGAGAAUGGACACACGCUGCAAAGAGGAAAGGAAAUGCCGUUUUUUUCCUGAAGUGCGCAUCGCUCGGCGCUAUCGCAUCGCUGUCACGGCCACUCUGCGAGUGCGACGUCGUUUGCCGGUAUGUGAUGGUGUCCUCCCUACCAACUUCUCUCGUUUCGCACGUCCAUCCUCCCUUUCUUUUGUUGCAUGUGCGAUUAAACUGAUGGACAUGUUUUUUUUUUUUGUUGGGACCUCUUUCUCAUCAAAG
rnacentral:misc_RNA from 1 species